rnacentral:rRNA from 1 species
ACUCCUACGGGAGGCAGCAGUGGGGAAUAUUGCACAAUGGGGGAAACCCUGAUGCAGCCAUGCCGCGUGUGUGAAGAAGGCCUUCGGGUUGUAAAGCACUUUCAGUAGGGAGGAAGGUAGUGUAGUUAACACCUGCAUUAUUUGACGUUACCUACAGAAGAAGCACCGGCUAACUCCGUGCCAGCAGCCGCGGUAAUACGGAGGGUGCGAGCGUUAAUCGGAAUUACUGGGCGUAAAGCGCAUGCAGGCGGCCUGUUAAGUCAGAUGUGAAAGCCCGGGGCUUAACCUCGGAAUUGCAUUUGAAACUGGCAGGCUAGAGUCUUGUAGAGGGGGGUAGAAUUUCAGGUGUAGCGGUGAAAUGCGUAGAGAUCUGAAGGAAUACCAGUGGCGAAGGCGGCCCCCUGGACAAAGACUGACGCUCAGAUGCGAAAGCGUGGGGAGCAAACAGGAUUAGAUACCCUGGUAGCCACAGAG